UUAUUUGAUGCUUUUUUGGUAAGACAUUUAACAUAGCUUCUUUACUGAAUGUAGUAGGGUCGCACACAAAAUCCAAUGCCAGAAAAUCUUUAAACUUUGAUCUUCUUGAUUCCUUUGAUCCGAUCAUAUGCACUUGUGCGUAAGUCUUUCCUGCUGCUUCAGAAUAGCACUUGCAGCAAUUAAAUCGCGCCUAGGUCAUCUGAUAAUCAUAUUCACAUCCAUAGAAAUAGUAGAGCUAGAAUGCGCGCUCUAUUGUUCGCCUAUUGUUUUCUGCGUAAUACCAAUGGGCAGCAAAGAUGGUAGCAACAUGUUGGCAAAAAGCUUUUGUGGCGUACGUUGUACACAAAUAAGAAGUUAUGGACUUACCGAUUCUGCGUGGUGAUAUGAGGAAAAAAAUUUCAUGAAACCUUUCCAGCGCCAAAAUAGAAGAAGAGUGCAAGAACAUACUCCCAAGAUAUUCUUUGUCCACCUGGGGUACAAAAGAUCUUGAUGGUGGAAAAGGCAUUUCUUGCAAGCUUCAGCAUGUGGCAGAUAUCAAGAAUUACAAAGAUCUUUUCAUUGGGGUUUGAUGGAUGUGGAAAUUAUGUGCAAAGGUUUUUUAUAUCACAUCCAAGUUUCUCAGCCAUGCUAACAUUCUUAAGAGCACCAUCAAAGAUGACUGCAUGAACUUUAGCUCCUCUCUCAGCAAGGAGGUUAAUUGCUUCACUUAUGAGCUGUUUCAAUAUUUUUGCAUUUAGGUUAUUUGUUAAAAAGUUACCAAUAGGGACAUACCAUGGUAUUUCUUCAGGUCAGUAGUUUUUCGCAACCCCACCCCCCACCCCUGCUUAUUAUAAUCCUGUAUAAAAAACAGAAUAGGAAUGGAAAUAUAACCUAUCUAUGCAUUCUCACAUAAACUCAUUAAAUAAAGAGAUAUAUUGAUCUAUGCAUAUUUAAGUAUGUAUUUACUGAAAUACAUGUCCCCCCCCCCUUCCACCAAAGUUUGUAAGGAAAUUUUGCUACAAUGUAAGAAAUGAUAGGAAAAUUUAUCUUCGGCAUCCGAGUAAAUUCACCUAUUGCACCCUCUUUGAAGAAUUAAUGCCACGAACCAUAAGAUGACUUUUAAUUUGGUUCACUGCCCUCCCGAUUUUAUGUACCUACUGUCUGUUUGUGAACAUAGUAGAAAUAUCAUUAAUGAAAAUCAUUUCGAAUACUUAAUAAAAGUAUCAUAGAAUU